UACAUGGGGUGCAAACGUUGCUCGGAAUUAUUGGGCGUAAAGCGCGCGUAGGCGGCUCGGAAAGUCGGGCGUGAAAUGCCGGGGCUCAACCCCGGGACUGCGUCCGAUACUUCCGAGCUGGAGGUAGGUAGGGGAGAUCGGAAUUCCUGGUGUAGCGGUGAAAUGCGUAGAUAUCUGGAGGAACACCGGUGGCGAAGGCGGCAUCCUGGACCAAUUACUGACGCUGAGUGAGCGAAAGCCAGGGGAGCAAACGGG
rnacentral:rRNA from 1 species